CAUUAUCAACCAUCAAGCCUGGCUUGUUGUUGGACCUUUCGUCGUUAAAGACGGGUCCCAAAGACAAUGACGGAGUCUGUCGGACCCUUAGAUGCAACGAGCUUUCAAUAGCACGCAUUGAAGCGGCCGGUGACUUUGGUCCCAACCGAUAUUUUCAUAAGGUUGACCUCGGAUCAGGUAGGAAUACCCGCUGAACUUAA
rnacentral:misc_RNA from 1 species